GGGGAAGAACCCUAGCUUGCUCAAUUAACUACAAAUUCAGUACAAUUGUGGAGGAUUCAUGUUACAAAUCGAAUGCUAAUGUCUAAAUACUCACUAAUCUCAGUGAUCGAAAGAAGAAGGAGCUAGUUCCGGAUCACAAACAAAGUCACAAGAUCGAGGAUCGAAAGAAGAAGGAGCUAGUUCCGGAUCACAAACAAAGUC
rnacentral:lncRNA from 1 species